CCUACGGGAGGCAGCAGUAGGGAAUAUUGCUCAAUGGGGGAAACCCUGAUGCAGCAACGCCGCGUGGAGGAUGAAGGUUUUCGGAUUGUAAACUCCUUUUGUUAGAGAAGAUAAUGACGGUAUCUAACGAAUAAGCACCGGCUAACUCCGUGCCAGCAGCCGCGGUAAUACGGAGGGUGCAAGCGUUACUCGGAAUCACUGGGCGUAAAGAGCGCGUAGGCGGGGUAGCAAGUCAGAUGUGAAAUCCUAUGGCUUAACCAUAGAACUGCAUUUGAAACUGUUAUUCUAGAGUAUGGGAGAGGUAAGUGGAAUUCUUGGUGUAGGGGUAAAAUGCGUAGAGAUCAAGAGGAAUACUCAUGGCGAAGGCGACCUGCUAGAACAUAACUGACGCUGAUGCGCGAAAGCGUGGGGAGCAAACAGGAUUAGAUACCCUUGUAGUC
rnacentral:rRNA from 1 species